rnacentral:rRNA from 1 species
UGGGGAAUAUUGGACAAUGGGCGCAAGCCUGAUCCAGCCAUGCCGCGUGAGUGACGAAGGCCUUAGGGUUGUAAAGCUCUUUUGGCGGGGACGAUAAUGACGGUACCCGCAGAAUAAGCUCCGGCUAACUUCGUGCCAGCAGCCGCGGUAAUACGAAGGGAGCUAGCGUUGUUCGGAAUCACUGGGCGUAAAGCGCACGUAGGCGGAUUUGUUAGUCAGGGGUGAAAUCCCGGGGCUCAACCUCGGAACUGCCUUUGAUACUGCAAGUCUCGAGUCCGGAAGAGGUGGGUGGAAUUCCUAGUGUAGAGGUGAAAUUCGUAGAUAUUAGGAAGAACACCGGUGGCGAAGGCGGCCCACUGGUCCGGUACUGACGCUGAGGUGCGAAAGCGUGGGGAGCAAACA